CAAAAUUUAUAUUUAAGUAUGGAUGGAUCACAUGUGCCAAUAGCAGAAGACUUAGUCCUAAGUACGGAAAUAAGGGCACACCAGAAGAAAGAUUUGUCAAUUGUAUCGUUCUUAAGAUCAUGUUGUGUACUUCCUCAACGUUACGUAUUCGCGAUUGUUGGACUUAUCGGUUUGUGUAAUGCAUUCACUAUGCGCGUUACUUUGAACAUGGCCAUUACACAAAUGGUCAAACAAAGACAUUUUGGAAAAGAUCAUUCAGACCCUGACACAAGCCCAAGCGAUAAGAUACUUGCUAACAUAACUUCUGUUAUAAACCCACAUGCUAUGUUCGAGUGGGACGAGGAAACACAGGGUCUCUUUUUAAGUGGUUUUUAUUACGGUUAUUCUUCAACACAAAUAUUAGGAGGAUAUUCGGAAAUAUAUUCGGU